rnacentral:misc_RNA from 1 species
GAUGAAGAACGUAGCGAAAUGCGAUACUUGGUGUGAAUUGCAGAAUCCCGUGAACCAUCGAGUCUUUGAACGCAAGUUGCGCCCGAAGCCAUUAGGCCGAGGGCACGCCUGCCUGGGCGUCACACGUCGUUGCCCCCCCAUCUACUCCUUCGGGAUUGCGGGGGGCGGAUGAUGGCCUCCCGUGCGCCUCGUCGCGCGGUUGGCAUAAAUGCCAAGUCCUCGGCGACGCACGCCACGACAAUCGGUGGUUGCGAAACCUCGGUUGCCCGUCGUGUGCGGUCGUCGCGCAUCGAGGGCUCGAAAAAAUUGCCGGGCUCCGGCUCGGCUUUCAACGCGACCCCAGGUCAGGCGGGGUUACCCGCUGAAUUUAAGCAUAUCAAUAAGCGGACGA